rnacentral:rRNA from 1 species
UAAAUAGCCGCAUUUGUGCUAAGGUAGCANAAUCAUUUGUCUUUUAAUUAAAGACUAGAAUAAAAGAUUUAACUUUUAAAUUUAUUUUUUAAAUUUAUUAAUUGAAAUUAUUUUAAAUAUAAAAAAAUAUUUAUGAAAAAGAAAGACGAUNNNACCCUAUNGAACUUUACUUUAGUUAAACUGGGGCAGUUAAUUAAUUAUUAUUUUAAUUUGAAUUCAUUAAACAAAUAGACCUAAUACAAUUAAUUUUAUGAUCAAGUUACCAUAGGGAUAACAGCGUAAUUUAAUUUUUAAGAUCUUAUUUAAAAUUAAGAUUGCGACCUCGAUGUUGAUUUAAUUUUCCUAAUUUUUCACGCAGUAGUAAAUAAAGGAAGUCUGUUCGACUUUUAAAUAAUUACAUGAUUUGAGUUCAGACCGGCGUUAACCAGGUUG